CGGGGUGAGUAAUGCUUGGGAAUCUAGCUUAUGGAGGGGGAUAACUACGGGAAACUGUAGCUAAUACCGCGUAGUAUCGGAAGAUGAAAGUGUGGGACCUUCGGGCCACAUGCCAUAGGAUGAGCCCAAGUGGGAUUAGGUAGUUGGUGAGGUAAAGGCUCACCGAGCCGACGAUCUCUAGCUGGUCUGAGAGGAUGACCAGCCACACUGGGACUGAGACACGGCCCAG
rnacentral:rRNA from 1 species